ACCGGAUGCGGAUCUCGAAAGCCUGUCCCAGUUCGGACUGGAGUCUGCAACCCGACUCCACGAAGUAGGAUUCGCUAGUAAUCGCGCAUCAGCCAUGGCGCGGUGAAUACGUUCCCGGGCCUUGUACACACCGCCCGCCACGCCAUGGGAGUCGGAAGUGCCCAAAGUCGGUGACCUAACCGCAAGGAAGGAGCCGCCUAAGGUAAUGCCGAUGACUGGGGUGAAGUCGUAACAAGGUACC
rnacentral:rRNA from 1 species